GCCAAGACAGAGCUUUCAUCUGGAGUUAGGAACAUUACUCUCCGUGUCCGAAACUUCACACAGAUUGAACCCAGGUGGAGCCUACUGGAAGAUUCUCCAAAGUUCUGUGGCAGGGGCUCCAGGCUGAAUGAAUCCACGACAGCCAGCCAUUUGUUAUUUUCAGAGUCUUCCAGCUGAAACCGAAGCGUUUUUCUUUGGAAUCCUUUAC